GACGAACGCUGGCGGCGUGCUUAACACAUGCAAGUCGAACGGCAAGGCCCUGCUUUUGUGGGGUGCUCGAGUGGCGAACGGGUGAGUAACACGUGAGUAACCUGCCCUUGACUUUGGGAUAACUUCAGGAAACUGGGGCUAAUACCGGAUAGGAGCUCCUGCUGCAUGGUGGGGGUUGGAAAGUUUCGGCGGUUGGGGAUGGACUCGCGGCUGAUCAGCUUGUUGGUGGGGUAGUGGCUUACCAAGGCUUUGACGGGUCGCCGGCCGGAGAGGGGGACCGGCCACAUGGGUACUGAGAGACGGCCCAGACUGCUACGGGAGGCAGCAGUGGGGAAUAUUGCACAAUGGGCGGAAGCCUGAUGCAGCAACGCCGCGUGCGGGAUGACGGUCUGCGGGUUGUAAACCGCUUUCGCCUGUGACGAAGCGUGAGUGACGGUAAUGGGUAAAGAAGCACCGGCUAACUACGUG
rnacentral:rRNA from 1 species